UACGUAGGGGGCAAGCGUUGUCCGGAUUUAUUGGGCGUAAAGAGCGUGUAGGCGGUUUGGUAGGUCCGUUGUGAAAGCUCGAGGCUCAACCUCGAGACGCCGAUGGAAACCAUCAGACUAGAGUCCGGAAGAGGAGAGUGGAAUUCCUGGUGUAGCGGUGGAAUGCGCAGAUAUCAGGAGGAACACCGGUGGCGAAGGCGGGUCUCUGGGCAGUAACUGACACUCAGGGACGAAAGCUAGGGGAGCGAAUGGG
rnacentral:rRNA from 1 species